UCUGACAAUAAACACAUUGUUUAAUGUGCAUGCACAUGAUUUUGUUUUCUCCAGUUUCAAAGAACAUUAUUAUGUUUUCUCCUGUCUUAAAGUAUUAUUUGAAACAAAUGUCGGGUGUUCUUGCUAAUCUAUAAACGAAAGACUACACAAAAUUGCCAUCAUGAGGGUCGUACACACAGAACCAGUUUUAAAGGAAGUUCCAGAAUUAAGAUUACAAUAAUCAUCAUAACAUGUGGUCUUCACAACGUCGGCUCCACCAGUUGAGCAGCCCCUUAUGACGUCUGAAA
rnacentral:lncRNA from 1 species